rnacentral:rRNA from 1 species
CUGGCGGCGUGCCUAACACAUGCAAGUCGAACGGGAAUCUUCGGAUUCUAGUGGCGGACGGGUGAGUAACGCGUAAGAAUCUAACUUCAGGACGGGGACAACAGUUGGAAACGACUGCUAAUACCCGAUGUGCCGCAAGGUGAAACCUAAUUGGCCUGAAGAAGAGCUUGCGUCUGAUUAGCUAGUUGGUGGGGUAAAGGCCUACCAAGGCGACGAUCAGUAGCUGGUCUGAGAGGAUGAGCAGCCACACUGGGACUGAGACACGGCCCAGACUCCUACGGGAGGCAGCAGUGGGGAAUUUUCCGCAAUGGGCGAAAGCCUGACGGAGCAACGCCGCGUGAGGGAGGAAGGUCUUUGGAUUGUAAACCUCUUUUCUCAAGGAAGAAGUUCUGACGGUACUUGAGGAAUCAGCCUCGGCUAACUCCGUGCCAGCAGCCGCGGUAAUACGGGGGAGGCAAGCGUUAUCCGGAAUUAUUGGGCGUAAAGCGUCCGCAGGUGGUCAGCCAAGUCUGCUGUCAAAUCAGGUUGCUUAACGACCUAAAGGCGGUGGAAACUGGCAGACUAGAGAGCAGUAGGGGUAGCAGGAAUUCCCAGUGUAGCGGUGAAAUGCGUAGAGAUUGGGAAGAACAUCGGUGGCGAAAGCGUGCUACUGGGCUGUAUCUGACACUCAGGGACGAAAGCUAGGGGAGCGAAAGGGAUUAGAUACCCCUGUAGUCCUAGCCGUAAACGAUGGAUACUAGGCGUGGCUUGUAUCGACCCG